CCUACGGGUGGCAGCAGUGAGGAAUAUUGGUCAAUGGACGAGAGUCUGAACCAGCCAAGUAGCGUGAAGGAUGACUGCCCUAUGGGUUGUAAACUUCUUUUAUAUGGGAAUAAAAUGUUCCACGUGUGGGAUUUUGUAUGUACCAUAUGAAUAAGGAUCGGCUAACUCCGUGCCAGCAGCCGCGGUAAUACGGAGGAUACGAGCGUUAUCCGGAUUUAUUGGGUUUAAAGGGAGCGUAGGUGGAUUGUUAAGUCAGUUGUGAAAGUUUGCGGCUCAACCGUAAAAUUGCAGUUGAAACUGGCAGUCUUGAGUACAGUAGGGGUGGGCGGAAUUCGUGGUGUAGCGGUGGAAUGCUUAGAUAUCACGAAGAACUCCGAUUGCGAAGGCAGCUCACUGGACUGCAACUGACACUGAGGCUCGAAAGUGUGGGUAUCAAACAGGAUUAGAUACCCGGGUUAGUC
rnacentral:rRNA from 1 species